GCUUACGGCCAUACCACUCUGAGCACGCCCGAUCUCGUCCGAUCUCGGAAGCUAAGCAGGGUCGGGCCUGGUUAGUACUUGGAUGGGAGACCGCCUGGGAAUACCAGGUGCUGUAAGCU
rnacentral:rRNA from 1 species